UACGGAGGGUGCGAGCGUUGUCCGGAAUCACUGGGCGUAAAGGGCGCGUAGGUGGCGCGAGAAGUCAACGGUGAAAGCCCGGGGCUCAACCCCGGGUCGGCCGUCGAUACUCUUGGGCUCGAGCACUGUAGAGGCAGGUGGAAUUCCGGGUGUAGCGGUGGAAUGCGUAGAGAUCCGGAAGAACACCGGUGGCGAAGGCGGCCUGCUGGGGCAGUUGCUGACACUGAGGCGCGACAGCGUGGGGAGCAAACAGGG
rnacentral:rRNA from 1 species